CCAGCAGCCGCGGUAAUACGGAGGGUGCGAGCGUUAAUCGGAAAUACUGGGGCGUAAAGCGUACGUAGGCGGUUAUUUAAGUCAGAUGUGAAAGCCCCGGGCUCAACCUGGGAACUGCAUUUGAUACUGGAUAACUAGAGUUUGAUAGAGGAGAGUAGAAUUUCUGGUGUAGCGGUGAAAUGCGUAGAGAUCAGAAGGAAUACCAGUGGCGAAGGCGGCUCUCUGGGUCAAAACUGACGCUGAGGUACGAAAGCGUGGGUAGCAAACAGGAUUAGAUACCCUGGUAGUCCACGCCGUAAACGAUGUCAACUAGCCGUUGGGUCCAAUUAAGGACUUAGUGGUGCAGCUAACGCAUUAAGUUGACCGCCUGGGGAGUACGGCCGCAAGGCUAAAACUCAAAUGAAUUGACGGGGGCCCGCACAAGCGGUGGAGCAUGUGGUUUAAUUCGAUGCAACGCGAAGAACCUUACCUACCCUUGACAUACUAAGAACUUUCCAGAGAUGGAUUGGUGCCUUCGGGAGCUUAGAUACAGGUGCUGCAUGGCUGUCGUCAGCUCGUGUCGUGAGAUGUUGGGUUAAGUCCCGUAACGAGCGCAACCCUUAUCCUUAUUUGCCAGCACGUAAUGGUGGGAACUCUAAGGAGACUGCCGGUGAUAAACCGGAGGAAGGUGGGGACGACGUCAAGUCAUCAUGGCCCUUAUGGGUAGGGCUACACACGUGCUACAAUGGCCGGUACAGAGGGCUGCGAACCUGCGAAGGUAAGCGAAUCUCAGAAAGCCGGUCUUAGUCCGGAUUGCAGUCUGCAACUCGACUGCAUGAAGUCGGAAUCGCUAGUAAUCGCGAAUCAGAAUGUCGCGGUGAAUACGUUCCCGGGCCUUGUACACACCGCCCGUCACACCAUGGGAGUGGGUUGCAAAAGAAGUGGGUAGACUAACCUUCGGGAGGUCGCUCACCAC
rnacentral:rRNA from 1 species